AAGAACCACCAGACUGCAAAGGCGCUGCCAGCCAGAACCAGCUGCAACACCAUCACUCCCACCACUAUCCCAGCCACUUCUCCAACAGAGAGUCCUGCAGAGAACAUGGAGACAGAGGGACUCAUUUGGGAGAAAUAGAGAAGAGCAGCAGCCAUAAGUCAGAGGAAUAACAGAGUGGACCAGUAAGAUGCUGAGCCCUGCAUCUGCACAAACACAAAGAGCUGAAGAGGAGGACCAUACCUGAGACUCGCACAGAGACUGAGCCGAUGGUCCUGUUGGUCUCAGGAUCGGUCACCUUGUAGACUCCGGCAUCCUCCAGUGUCACACUCCUCAGCAAAAGGGUGUAGUUCUGGGCCAGAAGCUCACAUCUCUGAGCACAACGCUCCCCAUACCUGGCUGGGCCUUUAUUUGCAUCGAGCAUCAGCACCUCAUCUGAACCAAGGCCUGCACUGAAUGUUACCCUCACUGGGUCUGCGGUAUAGAGCGGUAUGGAGAGCAAACCACCGGCCUUCACUGUGAGGUUCUGGGGUGGGUGGCCUGU